rnacentral:rRNA from 1 species
AUCACAGGGGGAUAGCCUUUGGAAACAGGGAUUAAUACCGCAUAAAGCAGGGGCUCCGCAUGGAGAUAUUGCUAAAGAUUUAUCGGUGAUAGAUGGGCAUGCGUCUGAUUAGUUAGAUGGUGGGGUAACGGCCUACCAUGGCGAUGAUCAGUAGGGGGCGUCAGAGCGUGGUCCCCCACACUGGCACUGAGAUACGGGCCAGACUCCUACGGGAGGCAGCAGUAGGGAAUAUUGGGCAAUGGAUGCAAGUCUGACCCAGCCAUGCCGCGUGCAGGAAGAAGGUCCUCUGGAUUGUAAACUGCUUUUUUGGGGGAAGAAGAGACACCUUGCGAGGUGUUGUGACGGUACCCUAAGAAUAAGCCACGGCUAACUACGUGCCAGCAGCCGCGGUAAUACGUAGGUGG